UACGAAGGGGGCUAGCGUUGUUCGGAUUUACUGGGCGUAAAGCGCACGUAGGCGGAUCGUUAAGUCGGAUGUGAAAUCCCUCGGCUCAACUGAGGAAGUGCAUCCGAAACUGGCAGGCUUGAGUACUAAAGAGGGUCGCGGAAUUCCCGGUGUAGAGGUGAAAUUCGUAGAUAUCAAGCGGAACACCGGUGGCGAAGGCGGCCUUCGUGGACGAGUGACUGCGUGAGACGCGAAGCGUGGGGAGCAAACAGG
rnacentral:rRNA from 1 species